rnacentral:rRNA from 1 species
UGGGGAAUUUUCCGCAAUGGGCGAAAGCCCGACGGAGCAAUGCCGCGUGGAGGUGGAAGGCCUACGGGUCGUCAACUUCUUUUCUCGGAGAGAACAAUGACGGUAUCUGAGGAAUAAGCAUCGGCUAACUCUGNGCCAG